AUACGGAGGGUGCAAGCGUUAAUCGGAAUUACUGGGCGUAAAGCGUACGUAGGCGGUUCGUUAAGUUAGAUGCGAAAGCCCCGGGCUUAACCUGGGAACUGCAUCUAAAACUGGCGGACUAGAGUUGAGUAGAGGGGAGUGGAAUUUCAGGUGUAGCGGUGAAAUGCGUAGAGAUCUGAAGGAACACCAGUGGCGAAGGCGACUCCCUGGACUCGAACUGACGCUGAGGUACGAAAGCGUGGGUAGCAAACGGGAUUAGAAACCCUAGUAGUCC
rnacentral:rRNA from 1 species